rnacentral:rRNA from 1 species
GACGAACCGAGCAAACGUUAUUCGGAAUCACUGGGCUUAAAGGGUGCGUAGGCGGGCAAGUAAGUCAGGGGUGAAAUCCCACGGCCCAACCGUGGAAGUGCCUCUGAUACUGCGAGUCUAGAGGGGGAUAGGGGCGUGCGGAACUUCCGGUGGAGCGGUGAAAUGCGUAGAUAUCGGAAGGAACACCGGUGGCGAAAGCGGCGCGCUGGAUCCCUACUGACGCUGAGGCACGAAAGCCAGGGGAGCAAACGGG